AUUAAACGCUGGCGGCAUGCCUUACACAUGCAAGUCGAACGGCAGCACGGGGGCAACCCUGGUGGCGAGUGGCGGACGGGUGAGUAAAGCAUCGGAACGUAUCCUGGAGUGGGGGGAUAACGUAGCGAAAGUUACGCUAAUACCGCAUAUUCUGUGAGCAGGAAAGCAGGGGGAUCGCAAGACCUUGCGCUCUGGGAGCGGCCGAUGUCGGAUUAGCUAGUUGGUGGGGUAAAGGCCUACCAAGGCGACGAUCCGUAGCGGGUCUGAGAGGAUGAUCCGCCACACUGGGACUGAGACACGGCCCAGACUCCUACGGGAGGCAGCAGUGGGGAAUUUUGGACAAUGGGCGGAAGCCUGAUCCAGCCAUGCCGCGUGAGUGAAGAAGGCC
rnacentral:rRNA from 1 species